GGAGAGAUGACCGAGAGGCUGAAGGUACCGGUUUGCUAAACCGGCGUACGGGUUAUACUUGUACCGGGGGUUCGAAUCCCCCUCUCUCCG
rnacentral:tRNA from 1 species